GUCUAUGGCCAUACCACCCUGACCUCUAAAGUAAAGGAGGGUCUGGGCGGGUCAGUACUUGCAUAGGAGACUGCCAAGGAAUACUGGGUGCAGUAGGCU
rnacentral:rRNA from 1 species